rnacentral:rRNA from 1 species
AUGUUGAGGGCGGCGGCGUCAAGGUGCGCCGGCGGCGCCAUCCGGCGGCUGUCGGUGGCUUCGUACCCAGCAGCGGUAGGGGCGCGGAGGAAGCCUCCCCAGGACGAGGGGGACUGGUCCUACUACAAGGAGUGGUGGGGAGAGGACGACGGCCCCGGCGACGGAGCUCACACCGUCUUCCGCCGCCACUCCGAGCAUGGCAAUGGCGUCGUCUCCGUCGUCGCCUACCCAGCCUCCAUACCGGCCAGCGAUCAGUGGCCAGUGAUGGAGAGAUGGCUUCAAGAAAGAAAUUUGGCAAUAUACCCAGAAUCAAGUGGUGCUGACCAAUUUAAGAUACUAGGCUACCAAUGGCGAGUAAUGCGCUUUAACGACCAUACACGGCAAAGUACUGCAAAAGUAAUGGCGUGUUACCGGUUUGGCGGUGAUAGGGCAUUAUACUCAAUGCAGCAACCCAAUUGUUUAGCUGUUCCUUAUGUCAAGAGCAUGGUAUCAGCAGGGUUGACAGCACUCCCUAGUUGUUCUUAUGAUCUCCCUCAAGCAGUUUCUGAGCCGAACACUAUGAAAAUUCUUUGUAUCGGUCAUGGUGGCGGCAGCAUACCAUUGUUUUUGGCUAGUAAAUUCAGAGGUGCUGAUGUCCACAUUGUGGAAAUCGAUCCAGUCGUCGUUUCAGCCUCGGUCGAAUCCAUGGGCUUCCCGGCAUCAUGCGCGAAAGGGUUAUCAGCGCACACCAUGCAGCCCACCGACGGCGACGAGCUGCUAUGGAACGGCGUCCACGACCGCAUCUCCCUCCACAUAGAAGACGCGGAAGACUUCAUCGCCGGCGACAGCAACGUCUACGACCUGGUCUUCAUCGACGCGUACGACGGGAACGACAUAUUCCCCCGCAAGCUCUGGGACGCCGACGGGGCGUUCCUGAGGAACCUGGAGGAGAAGGUCCACCCGCUCCACGGCACCGUGGUGGUGAACCUGCACUCCGACUCGGGGCCGUCGUCCCCCGACGUCGACGACGAGGCCCCCUUCGAGAACGUGCUCCCCAUGGGCAGGUACGUCUCCCACGUCUGCCGGGCAUACAAGCGGCAUUUCGGGCUGGCCUUCACGGUGGCCUCCCCCUGGCUCUGCAACAUCACGCUGGUCGCCUGCCGUGAUAAGGCGAUACUGAAGGGCGCGCCGGUAGGGCGCAGCUGUAGGGAUUUUGUUCUCAGCAAGCUUCUGUCUAGGUCGAGCAUGGUUGAGCAGGCGCUGGACCUGCCGUUCCCCUGUCUGCAGUACGUCAAGAAUGGCUUCACGCUGGUUGAAUGA